AGUGACACCAAGGAGUGACGGGAAUCAUUCAAGAAAGCAAGGUUCACGGCUUAGAUUGUCAUCGGGAAUGUCUUCAUCACAGCCCCUAGUCAAACGCACCAAGAUAUAUAUAGAUGAUGAAGAUGAGUAAUUAUCAUCCAUAUAAUCACUCCUGAUCACUCCAAUACUGCAAUUGGCUUCAAAUUUUAUUAAUUCUACAAAAACAUGUGUUCUGACAUAAAAAAUGGAUACAAAUAUCAAAUAUAAAUCACAUUAUGUUCACUAAAA